rnacentral:rRNA from 1 species
AGACGUGAUAAGCUGCGAAAGCUCGGGGAGGAGCAAAUAUCCAAAGAUCCGGAGAUAUCUGAUGGGGGAANCCCGGCGGAGCAAACCUCNGUCAUCUUACGCCCAUNACAUACGUUNAGAAGGGAACCCGGUGAACUGAAACAUCUAAGUAGCCGAGGAAGAGAAAGAAACAUCGAUUCUGUGAGUAGCGGCGAGCGAAAGCGGAAGAGCCCAAACCGGGAUGCGUGCAUUCCGGGGUUCGGACUGCGUAAGUGAUGAGUAAGCCUAGUAGAAUGGUUUUGGGAAAGCCAGCCAGAGAGGGUGAAAGCCCCGUACAUGAAAGGCGAGCGAGCACGGCAGGAUCCAGAGUACCACGAGACACGAGAAACCUUGUGGGAAUGAGCGGGGACCACCCCGUAAGGCUAAAUACUCCUUAGUGACCGAUAGCGCAUAGUACUGUGAAGGAAAGGUGAAAAGGACCCCGGGAGGGGAGUGAAAGAGAACCUGAAACCAUAUGUUUACAAGCUGUGGAACAUCUUUAUAUGAUGAACCGCGUACUUUUUGUAGAACGGUCCGGCGAGUUACGCUGGCUGGCGAGGUUAAGGACUGAAGGUCUGGAGCCGAAGGGAAACCAAGUCUGAAUAGGGCGUGAAGUCAGUCAGAGUAGACCCGAAACCGGGUGAUCUAUCCAUGUCCAGGUUGAAGUUGCCGUAAAAGGCAAUGGAGGACCGAACCCACAUCCGUUGAAAAGGGUGGGGAUGAGGUGUGGAUAGGGGAGAAAUUCCAAUCGAACCCGGAGAUAGCUGGUUCUCCUCGAAAUAGCUUUAGGGCUAGCCUCAUACGAGUCUUGCGGAGGUAGAGCACUGAAUUUCCUAGGGGGCGUCAAAGCUUACCGAAGAAUAUCAAACUCCGAAUGCCGCGUAGAUGUUGUAUGGGAGUCAGACUGUACGAGAUAAGUUGGACAGUCAAAAGGGAAAGAGCCCAGACCUGCAGCUAAGGCCCCAAAAUGUGUGUUAAGUGGAAAAGGAUGUGGGAUUUCAAAGACAACUAGGAUGUUGGCUUAGAAGCAGCCAUACAUUCAAAGAGUGCGUAAUAGCUCACUAGUCGAGAGGUCCUGCGCCGAAAAUGUCCGGGGCUGAAACACACUGCCGAAGCUCAGGAAUGUACCUAGUACAUUGGUAGAGGAGCAUUGUAUACGGGACGAAGCAGUACCGAUAAGGAGCUGUGGACUGUAUAGAAGAGAGAAUGCCGGAAUGAGUAGCGAGAGGAAGGUGAGAAUCCUUCCGGCCGAAUAUCUAAGGUUUCCAGAGUAAAGCUGAUCUGCUCUGGGUAAGUCGGGGCCUAAGGCCAGGUCGAAAGACGUAACCGAUGGACAACAGGUUGAAAUUCCUGUACCUUAAGUAAACAGAACUGUGGGGACACGUGUGGAGAGCACAAGCCGGAAAUGGAAAAGCCGGUGCAAGCGAGGUAGGAGAUGAAUAGGCAAAUCCGUUCAUCAAUCCGAAGACGUGAUGCGGACCGAAUUAAGAGUAGGGAAGUGUGUGAGCCAUGCGUCAAGAAAAGCCGCUAUUGUUUUACUUAAGCCCGUACCGUAAACCGACACAGGUGGAUGAGGAGAGAAUCCUAAGGCCGACGGGAGAAGCAUUGUUAAGGAACUCGGCAAAAUGACUCCGUAACUUCGGGAGAAGGAGUGCCAGCGAGAGCUGGCCGCAGAGAAUUGGCCCAAGCAACUGUUUAGCAAAAACACAGGUCUAUGCAAAACCGUAAGGUGAAGUAUAUGGGCUGACGCCUGCCCGGUGCUGGAAGGUUAAGAGGAGAGGUUAGCGGUAACGCGAAGCUUUGAAUUUAAGCCCCAGUAAACGGCGGCCGUAACUAUAACGGUCCUAAGGUAGCGAAAUUCCUUGUCGGGUAAGUUCCGACCCGCACGAAAGGCGUAAUGAUUUGGGCACUGUCUCAACAAUGCACCCGGUGAAAUUGAAAUACCAGUGAAGAUGCUGGUUACCUGCGCCAGGACGGAAAGACCCCAUGGAGCUUUACUCCAGCUUGAUACUGGGAUUCGGUAUUGCAUGUACAGGAUAGGUGGGAGGCUAGGAAGUGAUGACGCCAGUUGUCACGGAGCCGCUGUUGGGAUACCACCCUUGCAGUAUUGGAUUUCUAACCAGCGACCAUGAACUGGUCGGGGGACAAUGUCAGGUGGGGAGUUUGACUGGGGCGGUCGCCUCCGAAAGGGUAUCGGAGGCGCUCAAAGGUUCCCUCAGAAUGGACGGAAACCAUUCGAAGAGUGCAAAGGCAGAAGGGAGCUUGACUGCGACACCGACGGG